CUGUUUUUUUUAAUUGAGGUUAAAGUCACAUAACACAAAAUUAACCAUUUAAAAAUAUACAAUUCAGUGGCACUUACACAUUCACAACAUUGUGCCACCAUCAUCUCUAAUUCCACAACAUUUUCAUCACUCCAAAAGGAAACCCCUCACCCAUUAAAAAAUCAUCCCUCAUCCUCCUUGCCUUGUUUCUAUGGAUUUAUCUAUCUCUCUGUUUCUGAUUUCUAACUUAGAUUGUGGCACCAGUACAUAUUUUGUAUAACUUAAAUCUUUUAAAUUUAUUGACACUUGUUUUAUGGUCCAAGAUACAGUCCAUCUUGAAACAUAUUCAUGUGCACACGAAGAGCAUCUUAUUCUGUUGUUGUUGGGUGAGUGUUCUAGAAAUAUCUUCAAUUCAUAUUGGUUGGUAGUGUUGUUCAAAUCUUCUAGUGAUUUGCUGAUUUUCUGGCUACUCGUUCUAUUAAUACUGAGAGAGAGGAACUGAAAUCUGACUGUAAUUGUAGAGUUGUCUAUUUCUCCAUUGCAAUUUUAUCAGUUUUUGCUUCAUUGAUUGUGAAACUCUGUUAUUAGGUACAGAAAUGUCUGCACUUAUAGCCUCUUGACUGGUUGAGCCGUUUGCACCAUAAAAUGAGUUUGUUUAUCCCUGGUAAUAUUUUUUUCCAAAAUCGGCUGUGUGUGUUAUUAACAUAGCCCCUCCAGCUUUCUUUUCAUUCGUGUUAGAAAAUGGUAUAUUUUUUCCAUUCUUCUCCUUUUAACCUAUUUAUGUCUUAAUAUUUAAAGCGGCUUUCUUGUAGGUAGCCCAUAGUUGGGUUUUGCUUUUUUAUAUAGUCUGACAAAUUCUUUUAACUGAGGGCGUUCUGGUUAUUUAAAUUUCAUGUGAUUAUUCUAUGAUUAAGUCUAAGGUUUUCAUCUUGCUGUGUAUUUUCUGUUGGUCUCACCUGUCUUUUAUUCUUUUUCUUUUCUCUGCUUUCCUGGGGGACAAUCGAAUACUUGUUCUGAUUUCCAUGUAUCUCCUUUCUUGGCUCAUGCAGCAUACAUCUGUAUUCUGGCAUUUCUGUGGCUGUUUUGGUGUGUAGUGUAUGACAUCACUUCACACAGAGCGUAGAAACCUUCCAUUUGUUACUGACCUCCCAAUCUUUAUGCUAUUGUUGUCGUACAUGUUUUACGCGUUAUAGACCCCGUGCUACAUUGUUAUUAUUGUUUAAGCAGCCAAUUAUCUUUUAGAGUGAUUUUUAGAAUAAGGAAAAUUGGACACACUUUCCCCUGCAGUUUACGUGUUUGAGGUUCUCCAUGCACCUGUGUGGAUCCACACUUCCAGUGGGCGUGGCUUCCUUCUGCCUGCAGGACUGACUCCGAGAGCUCCUGCAGGGCGCAGCCACUGAGGACGCCUUCCUUCAGCUCUCGAGUGUUUGAAGAAACAUCUUUAUCUCACCUUCAUUAAGAAUCCUAUUUUCUGGGUAUAGAAUUCCAGGUUGGCAGUGUGUCCUCUCAGCCUUCACAGAGGUCCCUGCGCUGGGCUCUCAGCUACACUGCUCCUGCAGGAAGCUGCGCCAUUCACCUCUGUCACUCUGCACACAGCACGCAGUGCUCUCUGGCUGAUGCUAAGAUGCUCUUCUUGCCACUGGUGUUAAAGCGUUUGGUUAUGGUGUGCCCUUGAUAUAGUUUCAUUCCUUUCUAGUUCUUGUGCUUGAGACUCAUUCGGCUUCUUGGAUCUGUGGGUUUGUAUUUAUUUUUAUCAAAUUUGGAAAAUUUUCAGUCAUUAGUUAUUCAAAUUAUUGUUUAUUCUACUUUCUCCUCUUCUCCCAGGAUUCCAGUUACACCUACAUUCAUGCACUUAAAACUGUGUGACUUUAAUUUUUGUUCUUUUUAAUUUCAUUUUCUCUUCAUUUUUAAAGUUUCUGUUGCUAUUUCUCUAAGUUCUCCAAUGUUUUCUCCUGCCAUCCUUGUCAUUCACCCCACCUGGUGCCUUCUUCAUCUCCCGUGUUGUGGUUUUCACCCUGAAAGUUUGGGUUUGUCUUCCUUUUAUAUCUUCACUCUUUCUACUUAACUUUCUGAACAUAUAGAAUACAGUGAUAACUUGUCUUCCGAUUAUAAUAUCUGUGCCCAUGGAUCAAUUUGCUCUUGAUUCAUCAAUUAUUCUUCCUAUUUUCUUGCUUUUCUAUACAGCAAUAUUUUAUUGGUUGCCAGACAUUUGGGCUUUGUCUUCCUUUGGGGUCUGGUGGGUAUUUCUGCAUUCCUGUAUGUGUUCUUCAGGCUUGGGCUCUGUUCUGGGACACUUAUCUUCUCAAAGGAAAUAGCUGGGUCCUUUCAGGCCUGCUUUCUAGGGUCUCUCAGGCAGGUCUGGAGCGGGGCUCACCCAGGCCUAAUGACCCCCGACUGAGGCAAGGCCCUGUGUCUGCUUUGCCCGAUACCCCAGGAAUCAUCAGGUUUUCCAAUCCGGCUGGUGAAGCAGGUGCUGUUCCCACCCUAGAACCCUUUUGGGUGGUUCUUCCCCAGCAUGGGGUAGCUUCCCCUCAAGAAUGUGCUGAUCAGUCCUUGGCAGGACACUCCGGGGCCUGCCCCAAAGGUCUUGGGGUUUUCUCUCUGUGCAGCCCUCUCCUGCCCUCCCCUUCCUGGGGCUCUGUCCCAUGAGUGGCAGUGCCUGGCUCUCCCCAGGCUCUCGACUCCAUCCUGUGACUCCACCCGAGCUGCCGUGGUGAGCUCAGACCUUAGCUCGGGGACCACUGCCUGUCAUCGCUGAUGUCUAGUGUUCUCAAAGUCUUUGUUUCAUACACUGUUUGUUUUUUCGUUGUUUCAGAUGGGGGAGUAUCUGGUCCCUGUUACUCCAUUUCAGCUAGAAGCAGAAGUCAGCUGGCUUGUAAGCUAACAUGUAAAGACAUCCUCGAUACGUCUUAGAGGUUGAAGAAGCUGGAAUAAUGCAGUAUGUACAGUGUAUUAUGGUCAUAAAAACUAAAUCUGCGCUUGAAGGGGAUUUGCUGAAGCAAUUCCACAGCAUCAGCUUCACCCAGCAGGCUGGGUCUGAUCAGCUAACUGAAAUUCUGCAAGGACAACGUACGACAUCCACAGUAACAGACACGGCUCAGGCCAUCAUCCAUCUCUUUCAGUAGCAACGAGCACUCUGUGGGUUCCGUGACCGCUGACUGCUGCGCAACUCUGACCCGCAGGCUCAGGCACCUGACGGAGGGACGGUUGGGGCCUGGAGUCAGAAGCCCCAGGGCCGCGCAGGGCUUACGGCUGGGCUGCCGCUGUUCUCCCCAGUGUUCAUCCAGGGAUGCUCGAAGAAACGCUUUCGGAGCCUUUCUCGAAAAUCAGCAUCACACGGGCCUCAUUCUGUGAUGGCAUGUGAUAAAAUUGGAAACUAACAAGCCCCACCCCAGGCACUGUAUCCAGGCGGAAAUUCAAAAGCCCUCUCCUACUUGACUCACUAGUGGAACAGAAACCCACGUUGAAGCGUUGGGCUGUUCACACGCUGCAGCUGGGGGGCCCAGGACAAGGUGGGGAGGGAGGCAGAGAGUACAGGCACGAGGCCGCCGCCCCGGAGCAGCCACAGCAGGGCCCUGGGCUGCCCUCGCACCGAUGCAGGGAGCUCCACAAAGAUGCAGCAGAACACAAGGAAAGCCGGAGUCAGGCAGAAAUCCGUGUUGCUGGGGUCUGUAAACCAAAGCCAGCUCCUUGAAAAGGUCCGCUGCGUUGGAGCCUGUGAUUCUGAUUUAGAAGAGAUGGCGUCGCCAGCCUGGCCAACAUGGUGAAACCCCAUCUCCACUAAAAAUACAAAAAUUAGCCGGGCAUGGUGGCGCGUG